CAUGCGCUUCCUUUCAUGUGCCCAGCGGCUCCUGCAAGUCUGGCCCUCUGCUCCAAAGGGACUUUGCUUUCCUUGCUGUGUCAAAAAGAUACUUCAUGUUAAAAUUCAACGCAAGAUGUUAACCAGCCGUACAAACGAGACUGUCAAGACAAGGGCUGCUCAGGCAGGUUGAACUUCGCACCGGCUUGUUCUGAUGAGGGUCCUGCCCACGCUGUGACCAGCUGGUGUAUUUGGACAAGGCUAGGAGAGAAUACUGCCCCAUCCGCUGUCAUCUUCCCUUGUGGCUCUCAGGUUCUCAGCCUGUCCUGGGGAUCCCACCUUUACUGCAGGUUAAAAAAAGAGAAAAUUCUCUGGGCUCCACCACAAGGCAACAACUGGAUGGACCUGAGUUGCUAAUGCCUUCAAUUGUGCCAUUGAGCUCUGCACUGACCCCUGCAGGCAUGCCAGCUCCUGGCAGCACCCCUAUCUCUUCCAAAGGAGAUGGAUGGGUACAGAAGAGCCUCCACUUGGAGCAUGUUUCAAAUGUGGCAAUGCCAGCCAAUGGGUAAAGAAAAAAA